CACGUGUACAGUAUGUGUAUCGGUAUGCAUGUACGGAUGUUAAGUCAGAGAGCGUGAAUCUGUCCACAGCAGAGAAAAGGGAAUAGAGGUUAUGAACUUGAGCAAGGAUUUGUCUAAAGUUACCUUGAAACUUGGUCAACGUGAGGUUCCACGCGUAGCCUGUCCCAGAUAUUAUCUGAUGAAGCCAGAGAAUUAACGAAAUUCAUAGUUAAAGGAUACAACGUGGUCAAAAAUAAACAUGAUGGAGGGAUGAGUACACAACUGGAAGAAAAAAGAAACAACAGGAACAUUCUGAUUUUCAAAGUAUUAUUAUCAGCACAUGAUAGUUUCGCAUCCAUCUCACAAUGUACGGAUCGGACAAAACGUCAACAGUUAUAAAUCAGAAAAAAAAAAUAAGGACACGGACCUUAGUUAAAGGGCCGCUUCUCCCCACUUAUCGACGCAGAAAAAGAAAGGAAAAAAAAUGAUUAAAAAGACCAGAAUCAAUUUUGUGUAAUACAAUUCGUAAUACAGAAGCAUAAAUAACGGGCAUCGCGAGUAGCAACGAUGGGGCUCACCUUGAAUUUCGAUUCCAUCAGAGGACUUUUUUUUAGAUCUCUGGGGAAGCACAAAGGACGUUACAAAAUCGAGCUAAUGAAACACGCAUACAGGCUAAGAAACACGGCGUUUCUGCGGAAACCAGUCUUUCAGAUUCGAAGAACUUCGUUCUUCAUGCUUAAAGGAGGCAAUAACCGUGCAUAUGCGCGGUGAAAUCGCUGUUGCCCUCGCGACGUUCUCGACUCACUGACUUAGACCUCGACAUACCUUGGCCAACGAAACGCAAUAGUCCUCUGACCCCUGUUUGUAUACCUGUCGGAUUGGGACACGAGAAGAAACGGAGGAGCCGAAGUGAACGACAGCGUGUCAGUUUCGGUCGGUUCACCUCGCGCGUGCGACUGGCUUCAGGAGGACAGACGAAUAAAUUAAAAAUUCGAAUUGAAACGAGAAGGAGGAGUUUGUAGAGAAAAGGAGGGAGUUCGCAACGCCGGUGUAUCGAGAGCCGUCGAAUGGCUUACAUCGUUCUAAAUAAAAAAUCUUCUUCGAUACAUUUCGCGUUGAAAAAAUAGCGCAGAAUGUUUGCCAAUCGGCGGCUUCAAUUUGUUAUAUUCUCUUCUAUCGAACUGUCACGGCUGUUAAAAGGAAAUGAUAACUCAA